UGAAUGAGGUAAAGUCUGUCUGCCACCAAGUCAGCCUCUGUGAGAUCUUGGUUUAUGCAUGGUGCCAACAGCAUGUAUCAUGGGAUGCUCAGGGCAGAUCCAGCAUAUAGGAGGCUUCACUGUCAUCCAAGGAGAUAUGAGGGACAAUCUGGGGCUGUGAGAAAAGCUGGCUUCGGAGGCAGAUUGAGCUUGAAUCUUGUUCAUUUCCUACUCAGCCGAUCUCUACUGAGGGCUCACUUUGUGCUGGCAACUUUUCUAGACACCUGGGGUCCAGCAGUAAAAAAGACAAAAGAUUUCACUUUGUGGUGCUUUCAUUUCAGGGAAAUGAAAUGGGAUGUCUACAGUAAACAGCAGAAUAAAUCAGACCACAUCUGUGUUACAAAGAAAAGCAAAUGGUGCCCGCGUGUGGGAUCUGCAACAGCCAUUUUGCAACCAUGAAGGAUGACCUGCCACCAAAUGGGAUGACCUGAGACCUCGGUGACCAGCCCCGCCUCCCUCUGGACUUCUUGCAAAGUGACAUAGCUGUCAGACAGCUGGCUGGGUGAGGGGGACACUCUGUGACCACGGAAUGCACAAUGCCGGCCGCUGCCAAUGCAAGGACCCUGGGGUCUUCACCUCGCUCGCCCCAGGAUCCCAGAUGAGAGACGGGCCACAUCCACUCAGAGCUGGGCCUGUGCUGAUAGCAACGACCAGUGCUGGAGGGUUUACCAGGUAGCAGAUUUCCCAGAGCAGCCGCUGUGCUUGCUGUGUGUCCGGACGUGUCUCUAUGCCUGUGAAAAGACAGAGCCUCAUCCCUGUGCACCAAGGCCAGGAACACUGGAUGGGGAAAUGGAGGGCAAGACAUGGACUCCACCAGCCCCUUCAGCCAUUAACUCACAGUGUCACCUUGGGUACAGGUUUUAAUUCAGUGGUUGUUAACUGGGGGAAAUUUUGCCCCCCCUCCCAAGAGACAGCUAAUGUCUUGAGGCAUUAUUUUGUUGUCGCAUUUGGAGAGAGAAGUUGCAGUCGACGUGUAGACAACGUUCAAGGAUGCUGCUAACCUCCUACAGUGCGCAAGCCCAUCGCCCACAG
ensembl:lncRNA